AACCGCGGACAUGGAUGAGCACUACAGCACAUUCUGGAGGCACACGCGGGUGGUUGACGACAUGCUGGUGUUCGAGAUGGACGGCGAGGUUCUCAGCUACGGACAGGUGGACAGGGCUGCUGGGACAGACAAGAAGGAUGGGGAGGAAGCGGCUGCUCGGGCUGCUUCAGGGGACAACGUUGGCGGCGUUAGGAAGGAGAAGGGGAAGGGGAAGAGGAAGUGGAAGGUGGGCAGGCCUGCGCUGAAGGCUCCUGCGCGCGAUUCCCCUCCGCAUUGGCAAAAGGGUCGGAAGAAGAAGAAAGGAGCAAAAAAUGGUGGUAAGAAGAUCCAGCUUGAGGAGGAAAAGGAAGAUAAAGGCGGAGGAGCUAAAAAUCGUGCUAAGAAGACCAAGUAUCGUGUGCGCGAUUCCCCUGCGCAUCGGCAGAAGAGUCAGGGAGAGAAGGACGGAGGAGAAAAUGGUGCUGAGAAGAUCAAGGAGGAGGAGGAGGAGGAAGAGGAGAAGGUGCCAGUGAUUAGCACGGGUAGGCCUCCGCUGAAGGCUCGUGUUCGUGAUUCCCCUGCGCUUUGGCAACAGGGUCAGAAGGAGAAGAAGGGAGUGAAAAAUGGUGCUAAGAAGAUCAAGUUGGAGGAUGAUGAUGAAGAGAAGCCUUCGAGGGAGCUGUCUGUGAAAACACUGAAUACUGUGAACAGAGAAAAGAAUUCAAGACAUGAUGCCGAGCCUCACAGACAUGAUCCGGGCUUAGAUGGUGUUGUAUGGCCUACACACAUAAUGGAGAGGCCAGAUUCAGAAUUCAAGGAAAGGUUGAUGUGUGUUCUCCGCAAACCAUUUAGCCAGGGAGAAUACGAUAUGUUGCUUGGCAAUGCUAGAAUUCGCCUUCCGGCAACAAAGAAAAGGCAGACGCGCAGCGGUGUGAAGUACUACGACUCAACACAUGAAAGGGUACAAUCAUAUUUUGAUUGUCACCCAGCACACGUCCAAAGGUCCAUGUCACGAUGGGAGUGCAAAGAUAAAUUCCCAACAGAUUCAUUAUAUUUGGUACAGUAUAAUAAAUGGCUGUUUUGCUUGAGAAGUUGUCUUUCCCAAUAAGACGAGAAAGUAGUAGCAAAUCAUAUUGGUACGUACCUGGUUUGAAGUAAUGUGAUCUUGCGAAACAAGUACGUGUAGAAAGCACCAGCAAACCCAAUCAGCUAGCUCUGUUGCGUGGAUUUUUCUUCUGGAUGGAGAAUAUUACGAAUGAGGACCAAUUCAGGCCAUGGAGUGAUGAUUUCAAACUUUACAAGAUUAUUCCUUCCAUGGAAUGAGAUUAUCUACAGAAUUACAGAAGACCUCUCCUUUCUCAACUAGAGAAACUGAGGGGUUUUCCCGUGGUAUUGUUAUUUGUCAGCACAACUCGUUCUAGUGAUUCUAAGAGAAACUAGUAGCCUAUCUUGGUACUCACGACCCCCCAAAUGAAUUAUCUUUAGACCCUAGUUUGCUCAGCCUCUCUUUCAGGUAGAAGGUUUAUGGACAAGACGUUGUCGACAGACAAUGUAUUGUUUUUGUAUAUGUGCAACUGCAGUCAUAACUUUGGAAUGCUCUAGUAAUGCUUCUUUCUUAUGGAA